rnacentral:misc_RNA from 1 species
AACGCACAUUGCGCCCUCUGGUAUUCCGGGGGGCAUGCCUGUUCGAGCGUCAUUACAACCCUCAAGCUAUGCUUAGCAUUGGACCAAACUUCCGUCAAAAGUAGUUGGUCCCAAAGACAUUGGCGGUACCCAAGCGUAGCCUUGAAGCGUAGUGAUCUUACAAUCCGCUUUUCCAGGCUCCUUGGCUGCUUGCCUUGACCAAAACUUUCAUAUCGGUUGACCUCGGAUCAGGUAGGGAUACCCGCUGAACUUAA